CUAAGUUAUUUAUUCAAAGUAAACAUCAAUCCAUAAAAAAAUAAUUCUAGAAAAUUAAAUCAAAAUUAGUAGUAAGGAUAACCUAAAAUAAAUGUCAAGAAAUGAAAUAAACACACAGCUAUGAAUUAAAUUGUGCCAUUUUUUUUAUACAAAUGGUAAAGUGAAAACCGGCUCGAUAGAAACUUAACCUAAGUACUAACUCGAAAUGAAAACAAGAAUAAUUUUAAGGAAUAUGGGUCAUUCAAGUAUUAUGGGGAUGAGGGGCAGAU